rnacentral:rRNA from 1 species
GAUGAACGCUGGCGGCGUGCCUAAUACAUGCAAGUCGAGCGAACAGACGAGGAGCUUGCUCCUCUGACGUUAGCGGCGGACGGGUGAGUAACACGUGGAUAACCUACCUAUAAGACUGGGAUAACUUCGGGAAACCGGAGCUAAUACCGGAUAAUAUAUUGAACCGCAUGGUUCAAUAGUGAAAGACGGUUUUGCUGUCACUUAUAGAUGGAUCCGCGCCGCAUUAGCUAGUUGGUAAGGUAACGGCUUACCAAGGCAACGAUGCGUAGCCGACCUGAGAGGGUGGUCGGCCAAACUGGAACUGAGACACGGUCCAGACUCCUAAGGGAGGCAGCAGUAGGGAAUCUUCCGCAAUGGGCGAAAGCUUGACGGAGCAACGCCGCGUGAGUGAUGAAGGUCUUCGGAUCGUAAAACUCUGUUAUUAGGGAAGAACAAAUGUGUAAGUAACUAUGCACGUCUUGACGGUACCUAAUCAGAAAGCCACGGCUAACUACGUG